rnacentral:rRNA from 1 species
CGCAUGAAGUUGAGCAAUAACAGGUCUGUGAUGCCCUUAGAUGUCCAGGGCUGCACGCGCGCUACACUGGAGGAAUCAGCGUGCUGUAACCAUUGCCGAAAGGUAUUGGUAACCCCUUGAAAAUCCUCCGUGAUCGGGAUCGGGAAUUGCAAUUAUUUCCCUUGAACGAGGAAUUCCUAGUAAGUGUGAGUCAUCAGCUCACGUUGAUUACGUCCCUGCCCUUUGUACACACCGCCCGUCGCUGCCCGGGACUGAGCCGUUUCGAGAAAAGCGGGGACUGCUGUUUCGAUACCUUUCGGGGUGGAGAUUCUUUGGUGGGAACCGCCUUAAUCGCAGUGGCUUGAACCGGGCAAAAGUCGUAACAAGGUUUCCGUAGGUGAACCUGCGGAAGGAUCAUUAUCGAGCAAAGACUUCAAGUCUCCGAACGCGCACGCUUCCAUGUGCACGUAUACGUGAGCCGCGCAGUGAGUUGCACACAAGUGGUGGUGGUGGCCGUCAGCCGUGCUUUUCCGGCAGACAAUGGUCUGCAGCUCGCUGUGUGUUUAGAGGGGAUAGGUGACGUAUUGGGCUAGUUAGAAAGAUACGUCGCUAGCGCCUAACCUCUCGUUAUGUGUCAACGGUGUCCAUUUUGGCGUCUGCGCCUCACCUAGCUAUCGCCUGGACCGUCGGUAGCGAUGAAAGGUGGGGGUAAAGCUCCUCGCUUUUUGCGAGUCGAGUAGACUUAAUGAGCUUCAGCUAGGAGGCCGCCAAACCCCAAAACACAACCAGUCUAAUGUUGAAUUGUGUAUUGUAAGUGUUGUGUGCUGAGGGUUGUUGUCCUGCAACGACCCGCUCCACUUCACAUUCGAGUUAUAAAUCUUAGCGGUGGAUCACUCGGUUCGUGGAUCGAUGAAGAACGCAGCUAGCUGCGAUAACUAGUGCGAAUUGCAGACACAUUGAGCACUAAGAAUUCGAACGCACAUUGCGCCAUCUGGACUAAUCCGGUUGGCACGUCUGGCUGAGGGUCGAAUUAUUGUCAAAGAUCCGCUCGCUGAUGCGAGGCGGUGUGUUCGGCGAGCUAUGGCGGUGCUGCCCCCUGAGGGCAAGUGUCCGUCGUACCUUGCUAAGGCUAUGUGUGCCAAAAUUGCUCGCAAUCAUUUGCUCCGUGCGAGGCGAUGAUGGCCGUCAAGUGUUGUUGCUCCUCAGAUGCGGCUCCGAGCGCACAUGUACGUGUCCGCCGGUUUGGAGUGUCUUGCAUCGUCUGCUAGUAUGUGGUGUGACGGCGCUUUGGUGGUUAUCAGGUUGUUUUGACCUCAGCUCAGUCG